rnacentral:rRNA from 1 species
UACGUAGGGGGGCUAGCGUUGUCCGGAAUCAUUGGGCGUAAAGCGCGUGUAGGCGGCCCGGUAAGUCCGCUGUGAAAAGUCCAGGGCUCAACCCUGGGAUGCCGGUGGAUACUGUCGGGCUAGAGUGCGGAAGAGGCGAGUGGAAUUCCUGGUGUAGCGGUGAAAUUCGUAGAUAUUGGGAAGAACACCGAUGGCGAAGGCAGCCAUCUGGACCGACACUGACGCUGAGGCGCGAAAGCGUGGGGGAGCAAACAGG